UGAAAAUUGAUAAGUACUGAGGAUGCCAAUAGGAAUAUGGUAUGGAUGGUAGCUGGCGCCCGAGAAUUGAGGGAAAGUUUUCAGAGUCUUGUCGGAGCGUGGUUGGUUGGUCGCUAAAAGGCAAACCAGACCACCACUCAACUCAGCUGUGCAGUGCACUCCUCCUUCAUGGUUUUAUGGGCGUUUCUGUCGCGUUAUGCCUUUGUAUUUAUGUUCUUUUUAUUAGAUUAUCAUUAUAUCCUUCUCUACUGGCAGUCUGGCACUUCUACCUUACCUCCUACACCGGCAAGCCCGUUUAAAAUUGGCUGCCUGCAACGCUGCGCACUGCAAUCUGCCCUCCUUCUCUUUCUUCUUACUACACUUUAACUUAUUGCGAAAGUUUUUCCUCAAAUGGCUUCCGCCAGGAGUCGUAGGAGUUUCACCGCUCAUCUGUUCCUCUGGGUUUUUCUUGCACAAACUCAUAUUUGCUUUUCUGCCAAGGUGUAUGUGGUAUAUAUGGAAGUACAAAUGGUGAAGACCCAGAUGACAUUCUCAGCCUCCACCACCAAAUGCACGCUGUUGUUCACGGUGGAAGGUUUUUCUUCUCUUCCUUUUCUUUUUCCCCUUAAUUCUCCCCGCUGUAACAUUUUAUCGUUGCUUAUCUUAUUGGUUAAACUCCUAUGUGGUUGCUUAACAUUAAAAAAAGAACAGCAUCGAGAAAGCGCAGGCAUCUCACGUCUACAGUUACAAACACGGUUUCAAGGGCUUUGCCGCCAAAUUGACGGACCGCCAGGCUUCAAAGAUAGCUAGUGAGUUUCUGGAAUUUUAUUUCUUUCUUCCUUGCUGUUUCUUUUGUCUCUUUUGUCUGUGUUCUGUAAUGAGGGAUAGAUUUUCUCGGAACUCCAAUUUUUGUUUAAUUCUCUCCUGUACAUACAAGAUGCAAGUCGUCUUCUGAUUCACCGAAAAAAUAAAAAAAACAAACCCAGAAAUGUCCGCCGUGGUCUCUGUGUUCCCAAAUUUGAAAAGAAGGCUACACACAACUCACUCAUGGGAUUUCAUGGGCCUUGUUGGCGACGAAGCAACGGAGAUUCCUGGAUAUUCAACCAGGAACCCAGUCAAUGUUAUCGUUGGUUUUAUCGAUACAGGUCUGCUUUGUCUAGUUUUCUUCAUUCAUUAGAAACUACUAGUUUAGGAGUAAUAUAUUCAUAUCUGACUUCAUGUAUAGUCCUUAACUUCAGAAGGGGUAAUCCAUAUGUCCAUUAGACAUAUGCUUCUUAAUUUCAUUCAUGAAUUCAUCCUUAAAAGGCUCUGUUUGUCUGUGAGUCUAUCAUUCCAACGUUUCAACUUUCAAUUACCUUUUCAACAGUAAUUGAAAUGUGCAGUCCAACUGUUGAAAUGGAUGAUCACUGUUGCUGCUAGUUCAACAGAUAGAGAGUUCACAUCUGAUAUUGUACUAGGAGAUGGAACUAACUUUACGGUAAUUCUAAUUACCUUCUUACUUUUGGACAUACUGAAUUGCUCCCCCGCUCCUCUUCUGAGCUUCAUCAGUUUUCUGUCAUUGAAUAGGGGGAAAGCCUCAGUCUCACUGAAAUGAAUGCCUCUGCAAGGAUCAUCUCUGCCUCUGAAGCCUAUGCAUAAUACUUUACCCCUUAUCAAUCCAGGUGAAGCACAACUUCUAAAAGUAAUACACUUAGGAUGUUAAGCGGGGAACCUAUAGUAAUUGUUCCUUCUUGGUUUCAUAGCUAUUUUCUAGAGAGUUCCUUGAAUAUUACCAGAGUCAGAGGGAAAGUUUUGGUCUGUCGACAUGCUGAGGGUUCAUCAGAGUCAAAGUUGGCUAAGAGCGAGGUAGUGAAAGAAGCUGGUGGAGUUGGGAUGAUCCUUAUCGAUGAGGCAGAUAAGGGUGUUGCCAUCCCUUUUGUAAUUCCUGCAGCUAUAGUUGGACGAAUUACAGGAGACAAGAUUAUUUCCUACGUUAAUCAGACACAGUGUGUGUUUACAUUUAAAAUUCCAUCAAUGAACCCAGCAGAAUACAGUACUAAAAAAGCAUUAAACUGACUUUGAAUCAAUUUUCAGUGUACACUUAAGAUGUUAUAACAAUGUCAUAAGAAGGCAUAUUCCAAAGACAGACUUUGGCCAGCAGGGCAUAAGUAGCUUUCCAAGCAUUAAACUGACUUUGAAUCAGUUCUGUGUGCACUUAAGAUGUUAUAAUGAUGUCAUAAGAAGGCAUAUUCCAAAGACAGACCGUGGCUAGCAGGGCAUAAGAAGCUUUCCCAGCCAUCAAGUAAUGUUUGAAAUCUGAACCUGAAGAAUACCCCAUAUAUGUUUUCCAAACACAUAAUAUAAUUUAAGAUUAGCCUAGCUGCAAUCUUCUUGCAUUCAAAAGAAUUAAAAA